ACUAUGCAAGGAUAUUAAAGUUAAUUAUUCUGUUAGCUAUAACGGUUAACAUCUGCGGGAAUAGCUUAGCCUUCUGAGAAGAAUUGCCAAUGAAAGUAAAGAUGGAAAUUCUGUUUUUAGAAAGUUACAAUUGUAAAUCGGUUAUAUUUGACUUCAGUAGAAAGUGAUGAGUGAAGGUUGAACUUGAUGCAAUGAAGUCUUUUUUGUUGUUUACUUCGAUUGCUACGUAACUUUCUUUUUCUUUUUUUUCAGGUAGACGAUAAAGACUAACAAGAUUUCCUGAAACAGAUGUUGGUCAUCACACCUGCACAGGCCUCUCUUACUCUCUGUAAUUGUCUAAUUGAUUUAUAGCUUGUUCGGCAUUCCGAAGAUCCUGCUUCUAUCACCAACUCAGUAUGGAAACCGUCCUUGGCUGACUAGCUAUCCCCACUGAUAUUGAAGAGAUGCCCUGACUACAGUGGUGGGAGGGUUGCCGCUGUGAUCCUGUGUGAUGUGUAUCUUGCACAAUGGGUGUGUUCUCUUCAGGACUAAUUAUGUGUCUUACCAAACUUUUUAAUUAAUUAAUAUGCAUAUCAUGUUCAGAUCUUUCUCAGAGUUUUGCUGAGAACAUGAGGCUGAGGGAACAGAACAUAUUCUUAUUUUAAAAGGUAGGGAAUCUUAACACUGAUAAGUCUUUCAUGUUGUGUAUGAGUUUCUUUUUUUACAUAUGAUGUGACAUGUAUGGAGUGCUGAGCUUAGUGUAGGCAUUAUGCAAACACUUAUACGCCACUACUGGCAAAACCAUGACUCGUUAAUGCAAGCUUUCAGUCUAGAGUGGUAUGAAGCAUGUCAAACACAAGGUACAAUGGUGGGUAGGUAGACAUAAAGGGACAGACACUGUAGACAUUGAUUACUUACUCCAACAAACAGUGUGUCCUUUAUACUCCAGUAUUAUAGAUGUAAUGGAUGUCAUCUUAUUUUUGUAUUAUCUUUAGAUACUGUACUGCAAGGAUUCAUUUGAACGAUAGUUCAUUUGUCACCAUUCUCCAGCAGACAUUGUCUCAUUGAGAUGAAGAUUAGAGGGCAACGUCAGUUAGAAUACACUGGGAACACAUCUCACAGAUAAUCAGUUUCUUUAAACAGAGUUUCAGCAGAGAUAUCAUCAUGCUUUUUACCUUUACCUUCUCCAUUUUUCAAAGGAUUUAAACGUCAGAAACCUCAAGGCUUCUGAAAGAGAGCUGAAUCCCCCUGAACCCCCAUAGGAAUAUCCUGCUCCACUCACUCUCCCAUCUGGGUUUGGGGGAAAUGAUCUCUGAAGUAUGUGUGUGUGUGUAUAUAUAUUAAUACACACGACCUAAUCUUUCAUUGAAUAUAAACAUUACAUUGCAAUACUGCUGACAACUUUUGGCCCGUGUGGUCAAGAACAAAUGAUCAUGAAGCUUCCCAUUUCUUUUUGUCGAUGGUCCUACUCACACAUAAUAGAUGGGUUUGCCACAUGGGGGCUGCUGGGGUUGGUAGAUGUGACAUCAUAUAUCCCUGCAUUUUCCAUCAAUAUGACAUACACAGCAUGACAGAGAUGGCAUCACCACUGACAUCAAUGUUUCAUCCCCCUGCAGCUACUUCAAACAUCUCCUGGGACAUCAUACAUACUCAUCAUGCAUCUUGCAACCUGGUCAGCCCAGAUGUUGCAGUCUCUGGAAAUAUCUCAGUAAGCCAAUUCAUUGAGAUUAUGGACCACCAGCUGAUGGACUAAGCCGCACAAUGCUGGCUAGCAAAACCUCUCAGUUCCUACAUGCGGCCCCACUCCUGCUCUGACAAGUCAUCCCAACGCACCUCCAAAAUCAGCAGAUCAAUGGUUCUAUGAGGCUGCAGCUCACAAACCAUGGGUGCUAGUCUUCUGGGAAACAACUGUCCUCCUGCUCCCCACGCCAUCCAACCUCUGCCAGUUUCACAACGUAAACACACAGCAUUAGGUUUCUCUUGAAGAAAUUGUUGAAUCCUCGCUAUCUAUUCGUUAUCACAAAACUUUAGCAAGCAAAUGUCCCUUUCAAUUAUCUGUUUUUGAUACACAAUAUUAUUUUGACACUAUUCUGUGUUCACAGUAAAAUUGCAUCUAAUAAUCUAAUAAUAUCCCUUAUUUUAGGUUUAAUAAUAGCUACAAGGCAACUUCAUCUUUAUUCUUUAUUAUAAUGCAAGUUAAUGAGCAAUGUGAAAAAUGCCUUUCUAUACUACGUCUUUUUUAUUUUCUAAUUAAAAUGUAAACUAAGUAACUAUUGAAUGAAAAUGGAUACAGUACAAUAUUUGUUACAAUUUAAAUACUAGUAAUGCAUUUCUUUAAUGCAUUGGAAUGGCAAUAUUUUAAAUAUAACACAUUUAUAUUUUACAUUUAUACUGAUAGAACUCUGUGUUCAUUUAGCUAACGUAGUUAUCCCACGUUAAGUACAUAUAAACAGUCUAAUGAGUAACUCCUUACUCUUACACAUAUAUAAAAAGAAAAACAGCUUAAUUCAGACGUUUUCCUUCUUAAUCAGAACAUUUUGAAAAUUGAAUAAAUAAUGUUUGUGUAAUAAAGACAAGGAAUUUGCGAUUUAUAGGAUAAUGCCAAAAUCUAAACCAACCUGCUUUCAAUAUGAAGAGGAGAAGGAUGCAGAUCGUCUUAGUAGCCAUAGUUACACCAAUUGCACCAAAGUUAAUGUCCUUCUGCGUUAAAAAAAGACCCACACUUGCAGACAGUGAGCAGUACUCAGUUAAGUCUUCUAAACCAGAAAAGUCUUCUGCUUAUAUACCCCCAGAUAGUGUCCAUAUAGAUUCAUAAUACUUUUAUAUGUGUCACUAAAUAAUGACUUGAAAGAUGUGGACAUCCCUCUAAAUUCCUAGUUCACGUGCCUAAGACCAACUUGAUAUGACUUCAAAUUGAUGGAAUGUGUUGUCUACCAGAACACUCUAAACUAUAAUUAAUUUGUUAUCAUAUAUCAGCUUCACAAUUUAAACACCAGUGUGCAUGUGUGAUGUGACUAAGACUAAGAUUUUCCAUCAGAAAAUGAUGUGUGUAUCAGAAAUAAUCAUAACUAAAUUCAAGAGAGCAAGAGAGAAGGUAUGUUGGAGGACCAUCAUUUGAAAAAAAAUGACCAGGCGUAUUCAUGAUGCAAUAAAUGCAUGUUGUAAUUUUUGCUUGUUCAUAUGCACUUGUUUUCAAGUCUAUACAAAGGUAUGCCUUUUAUUUCUUUUUUCUUUCAAUAUAGUUUGGUACCUGGAUGUAUUAACCCUGCUUGUGAAAGAAAGUGAUGCCUGACAUUUGAGCAGGAUGAGAGGAAUUGCAGUUGAUGCACCAAAAAUCUGAAAAUGGGGAAAAAAACGAUUUGGCACAACGAACAUUUCAUGCCAUGAAAAAGUCUAAAUGAUAUCAAAUUUAAAUAUUUUUUAUUGAGAUGAAAAAAAAUAAUAGAGCUGUAAAAAUGGGUGUAAUCAUGACUUUCCACAAUAAUACAAUACAGACACCCAGCGAUAAAAAAGAUCAGAUUGUUUUAAACUUGAUUCUUGAUACCAGUAAAUAUAUGUUAAACCUUUCUGCUAAAAAGUCAUUUGCUGGAAAGUUUUUGGUAUCACUUUCCCCUCUGGCAGAGUCAACAGUGGGGUGAAAUAUUAGUAAUGAUUGAGUUCAUAACCAAACAAACUCAACAAGCUAAUUAAUUUGAUGGGAUUAUGAGGUAAGGUUUGCUAAAAGAAUUCAGUAGUUGAGGAAAUUGUCCAAAUGUAAAUAAAGUGGUUCUUUUUAUAGACUUUUUAGUACACCUCGUGAUGUUAAUUGAGACUGUGCUUGAAUUUCAUUUGGACACUUUAAACACAAAUGAAGGAAACUGUUUUGAGGAGAAGUAUUUUCAGGUUUAAGAUCCAUUAUCUAGCCAUGAAUCUGGUAAAUGAAGAGUUAGAUGAUUCAAGACAUACAGGGAGUGCAGAAUUAUUAGGCAAGUUGUAUUUUUGAGGAUUAAGUUUAUUAUUGAACAACAACCAUGUUCUCAAUGAACCCAAAAAAACUCAUUAAUAUCAAAGCUGAAUAUUUUUGGAAGUAGUUUUUAGUUUGUUUUUAGUUAUAGCUAUGUUAGGGGGAUAUCUGUGUGUGCAGGUGACUAUUACUGUGCAUAAUUAUUAGGCAACUUAACAAAAAAC
rnacentral:lncRNA from 1 species